CUGUUCGAAAAAACGAACUGCUCAUGCGUCAUUUUCAGAAGGAAACGUUAACUGGCUGAAAAUUGGCCUGUAAAAAUUCCCUUUAGAUAGUAAAGUUUCACCUAAGACAAACUAAAUACGGGUUUUGUUUGUUUUGUGAGAGAAAUGAAGACAACCGUUCAGCAUUAAUGCUUCAGUUUGAACACAAGGUGGCAGCACUGUGAUGGGAGAAAACUGCUCAAGUGGUGGAAAAUAACCAGGUUUGUGUGAUGUUUUCUCCUCGGCCUCACCUGCUCCUGGCCCAGCUGGACUGCAGUCUGCUUGAUGAUGUUUUCCUUCUCCAGCAGCUCCUUCUGCUGACGCUCAAAGUCCUCUUUACCCUUCAAAUGGAAACCGGAAUAAGUUGGGGUGUCGGGCUGAUGUGCCACGGAGUCGAGGUUUUCCCCGCACUCACCCCCUGGGAGGACGGAGGAAUGUCAUAAACGCCUUGUGUCCGGGGCUCCAUCUGGGUUGGAGGAACGUCGUAGAUCCCUUGGUUCCUGGCU